AACAAACGCUGGCGGCGUGCCUAAUACAUGCAAGUCGAACGGGGUAGCAAUACCUAGUGGCGCACGGGUGAGUAACGCGUGGAUAAUCUGCCUUAGAGUGGGGGAUAACUAGUCGAAAGAUUAGCUAAUACCGCAUAAGACCACAAGAGCUGCGGCUCAAGGGGUCAAAGGUUUUUCGCUCUAAGAUGAGUCCGCGUAAGAUUAGCUAGUUGGUGAGGUAAUGGCUCACCAGGGCGACGAUCUUUAACUGGUCUGAGAGGAUGAUCAGUCACACUGGAACAAAGACACGGACAAGACUCCUACGGGAGGCAGCAGUGGGGAAUAUGGAACAAUGGAGGAAACGCGGAAACAGCGACGCAGAGGGAGUGAUGAAAGCCAACGGGUCGUAAAGCGCUGGCGAAGGGGAAUAACAAAAUGAAUGGACCCUGUAAGAAAGGAUAGGAUAACUUCGUG
rnacentral:rRNA from 1 species